rnacentral:rRNA from 1 species
GACGUAGGAGGCGAGCGUUGUCCGGAUUCAUUGGGCGUAAAGAGCGCGCAGGCGGCUUGGUAAGUCGGAUGUGAAAACCCGAGGCUCAACCUCGGGCGUGCAUCCGAAACUGCUCGGCUAGAGGUAGGUAGGGGAGAUCGGAAUUCCUGGUGUAGCGGUGAAAUGCGCAGAUAUCAGGAAGAACACCAAUGGCGAAGGCAGCUCUCUGGGACGGUACUGACGCUGAGACGCGAAAGCGUGGGGAGCGAACAGG